rnacentral:rRNA from 1 species
AUUGAACGCUGGCGGCAUGCCUAACACAUGCAAGUCGAACGAGUGGCGGACGGGUGAGUAAUGUCUGGGAACCUGCCUGAUGGAGGGGGAUAACUACUGGAAACGGUAGCUAAUACCGCAUACCAUCGGAUCUGCCCAGAUGGGAUUAGCUAGUAGGUGGGGUAAAGGCUCACCUAGGCGACGAUCCCUAGCUGGUCUGAGAGGAUGACCAGCCACACUGGGACUGAGACACGGUCCAGACUCCUACGGGAGGCAGCAGUGGGGAAUAUUGCACAAUGGGCGCAAGCCUGACGCAGCCAUGCCGCGUGUAUGAAGAAGGCCUUCGGGUUGUAAAGUACUUUCGGCAGAGAAGCGUUACCCGCAGAAGAAGCACCGGCUAACUCCGUGCCAGCAGCCGCGGUAAUUC